rnacentral:rRNA from 1 species
CUACGGGCCGCUGCAGUGAGGAAUAUUGCACAAUGGGGGGAACCCUGAUGCAGCAACGCCGCGUGGAGGAUGACGCAUUUCGGUGUGUAAACUCCUUUUAUAUGUCAAGAAAAUGACGGUAGCAUAUGAAUAAGCACCGGCUAACUCCGUGCCAGCAGCCGCGGUAAUACGGAGGGUGCAAGCGUUACUCGGAACCACUGGGCGUAAAGGACGCGUAGGCGGGUUGGAAAGUCAGGUGUGAAAUCCUACAGCUUAACUGUAGAACUGCACUUGAAACUUCUAAUCUAGAGUAUGGGAGGGGGAGAUGGAAUUAGUGGUGUAGGGGUAAAAUCCGUAGAUAUCACUAGGAAUAUCUAAAGCGAAGGCGAUCUCCUGGAACAUUACUGACGCUAAGGCGUGAAAGCGCGGGGAGCAAACAGGAUUAGAUACCCCCGUAGUC